rnacentral:tRNA from 1 species
CAGCAAAUAUUUUAAAAAAAAAAUAAGUUUUGGGUACUUAAAAUGUAUUAAUUUACUUUGUUGA